rnacentral:lncRNA from 1 species
AUGCAGAUGAAAACCAGUAACCCUGACUCUAUUUGUAACCAUGACAACUAUAGAAUAUUUUAUUUCAGUAAUAUAAUUCACACCCAACGUUUGCUCAUCGGUUUUGUUGUUAAGGGGAAGGUUGACACGCUGUGCACACAUUUCAUAAGCUACCGGAGACAACAAAUACAGAGAACUCGGGCAGCGCUCGGGAUCGAGAACCCGUUCGAGACGCGUCGUGGGGGAAUGCACGCUCUGCCGUGUUGGAAGGGAGACGGCGGUGCCAAGUGACAGCCGAGCGAGGCAGAGGGAAGGAAGGCAGGGGAGCGGGCAACCCACGGAAAUGGGCGACUGCACGAUGCUGUGAAGAAGGGACAUGACGCCUGGCAGGAGGCAGGGUGCGGCGCUAGAAGGGCUGUUUCCCUUUUCCCCCUUUCCCAACCUCGCAAACAACCCGAGAGUCCCUGACUGCAGUGGGCUAAAACGUUUCUAAACCCAGCCGUCGUCAUUAAUAUUAGAAUGCUUUUAGCAGAACAUGGCCUCGCUUCGAAAACAGGAAGGCUCCACGCGUUUUUGUCCUUAAUCCAUCAUGUAUCAACGCCGAAACCUCCAGCCCGGCGCAUGGCGGCGGAGUGUGAGGGUCAGAAGUUCACAACAGUUUAAAUCUGAAUUAUUUAGCAAGCACACACAUGACACUCUUCCGAUUUCCACGCAGCUUUUUUUUUUUUCUCCCCCCCACCCCCCCCGUUCAUUUCCUUCCCUCUAAACACGAGAGCCCCGUUCGGUGUUAUUUGCCCUGGCGCGGUGUUAUUUGCCCAGCAUAUCCAGUUGACCCAGAAUCCGACGAAGCCGAGGAGAAGAAGUCUCAAUGGGACUGUUGACCUAACAAGUAGCAUGUCAGUCUCCCGGUGGCAUUUGAAUGUUCUUGCAGCGAAUGCUUUGAGACAGGAGAGAGCAUAAAGCCGAGUUUCUUUGGAAUCCUUAAUUAGACACAGUGAUUUUGGAGGACUGGUUUCUGCCGCUGUCCUCUAGUGCCUGGUACUUUGUUUUGCGACCUUGAGGUUAAGGGUACCAACCAGCCCUGUUUAUUUUUAAUAAAAUCUUACAGUUAUAUGAGACA